AGACACCACACAUCUCCUACCAACGACCCAACACAUUUUACAACAAUGGGACAUAUCCAAACACAAAAUGGUACUCUACCACCCAACGGCACUAGCAACCCCCCUAACCGCCCUAGGAGUGGCAAUACCGACACUAAACACCCGCCCAUGGACACAAGGAGGCAUUGAAACCGUUGUCCAACUAUACAACGAAAAGGGUCUUAAACCCUUCUCGGACCUACAGCAGGAAUUCAACCUCCCCCACAAACUAACCUUUGCGUACCUGCAAAUAAAAUCAUACUUAUCCAACAAUGCACCCACUAGGGCAGGGGUUCCACUACCACAGCGCAUGACCGAAUUUGAACAGUCAUGCGUUACCACAAAGCCCUUCAAAAGGCUACUCUCUCUGAACUAUAACACCCUCCUCCAACAACCAAUCGAACUCACCGACACGCACAUACAGGCAUGGCACAAGGAACUAGGGAAAACUAUUCCUCAGGAACAUUGGGCCAAGGCUUACUCUUCACAUAAAGGCAUUACCUCAUGUGCCAAUCACCUUGAGUUACAACGCAAACUGUUAUAUAGAUGGUACCUCGUGCCCACCAAGAUCAACCAGAUAUGGCCAAACUCCUCUAAUAAGUGCUGGAGAUGUGGACAAGCCAAAGGCAAUAUGUCUCACAUAUGGUGGUCAUGCCAAGCAUUACAAUCAUUCUGGGAAGAGACCCAAGCCACGUUAACUGAAGCAAUCCAAACACAAAUAUCACUAACACUAGAGCUAUGCAUCCUAUUUAUCCCACCCGACAUGAUCACUCAAGAAAAGUGGGCAAUUGCAUACCACAUCUUGAUCUCAGCAGCAAUGUGCAUAGCUAGAUUAUGGAAGUCCACAACACCCCCCAACCAAAACUCUUUGUUGAAACAAGUGGAACUCAACUGGAAAUACGAAAUGAUAUACGCACACCAAUUUGGUAUGAAAAAACACUUACACCACGCCCAUAAUAGAUGGACAGAAUAUCUAGCUACCUCCACGACGGACAACGUCCGGGGCCAAACAUAGGCCCACACAGCAUUGGCUCCCCCCCCAACCCCCCCCCCGUCUCCCCCCCUCCCCUUCGUACACCCCCUCUUAUGUUCAAAAGUACACUAUAUGCCUCCGAAGUCGAUUUAGGCACCCUAACAGCGAAAGGCACAGCACAAACACAGUGGAGGGACAGGUAUUGGGUUAAGUCAAGGCACUAGGGUUAUGAACAGAACUGGUAGCCCGCUGAGCUACCACAGAUAUGGGUAUCCACACAGGCGUUGAGUGAUACCCAGCAAAGAAAGCUGCACACGAUAAGUAUACGCAUACAUCACCCUCCCUGUCACCACAACUGUUUUGAAAUAAUUCCGGUGCACUAUGUAACAAUACGUUGGCAUGUACUGUAC